rnacentral:tRNA from 1 species
GGCCCGCCAGUUCAGUUGGUUAGAGCGUCGUGCUAAUAACGCGAAGGUCGCGGGUUCGAUACCCCUCACGGGCCG